GUAGUUAGCCGUGGCUUCCUCCUUAGGUACCGUCAUUAUCGUCCCUAAAGACAGAGCUUUACAAUCCGAAGACCGUCAUCACUCACGCGGCGUUGCUGCAUCAGGGUUUCCCCCAUUGUGCAAUAUUCCCCACUGCUGCCUCCCGUAGGAGUCUGGGCCGUGUCUCAGUUCCAGUGUGGCCGAUCAGCCUCUCAGCUCGGCUACCCAUCGUCGGCAUGGUGGGCCGUUACCCCGCCAUCUACCUAAUGGGACGCGAACCCCUCCCUUAUCGGAUUGCUCCUUUCACCUCAGUACCAUGCGGCACCGUGGUCCUAUGCGGUAUUAGCACUUGUUUCCAGGUGUUAUCCCCCAUUAAGGGUCAGGUUGUUCACGCGUUACUCACCCGUUCGCCACUCGGGUAUCUACCGAAAUAAAUACCCUCGUUCGACUUGCAUGUGUUAGGCACGCCGCCAGCGUUCGUCCUGAGCCAGAUCAAACUACUGA
rnacentral:rRNA from 1 species